UGUUACUUAGUAGUAGAUGGCACUUGUUAGGAUAUAUUAUGAGGGGGUUAGUCAGAGGGUUAUGAGGGAUGUAUAUGUGAGAGCUGUGGCUUUCGACAAAAAAAAAAAAAAAAAAAAAAAAAAAAAAAAACCCAUUUGAAAUCGACCGCCUGUUAUCGAUUGCAGACAUGAGACAUGGAGAAGCAAUAGUGGCGACUAGGCGAUGAAAGCGGAUCGUAUGAUGUGUAAUGUUUAUGUUCAAAUGGAUAAGCAGAAAUGUACGGAGUAUGUAGAUAUGUAGAUAUGUAUUAGUAAUUCAAAAUGCAGAU
rnacentral:sRNA from 1 species